rnacentral:misc_RNA from 1 species
GUGAAGAACGUAGCGAAAUGCGAUAAGUAAUGUGAAUUGCAGAAUUCAGUGAAUCAUCGAAUCUUUGAACGCACAUUGCGCCCGCCAGUAUUCUGGCGGGCAUGCCUGUUCGAGCGCCAUUUCAACCAUCAAGCCCCCCGGCUUGUGUUGGGGACCUGCGGCUGCCGCAGGCCCUGAAAAGCAGUGGCGGGCUCGCUGUCAAACCGAGCGUAGUAGAUCUCAUCUCGCUCAGGGCGUGCUGCGGGUUCCGGCCGUUAAACCACCUUCAUAACCCAAGGUUGACCUCGGAUCAGGUAGGAAGACCCGCUGAACUUAAGCAUAUCAAUAAGCGGAGGA